GUUAGUCAAAAAGGUAUGGCUAUGGUGGGCUCCAAAGACAAUUCAAUGCUUCUACAAUUUUCUUCAAACAUUGCGGCCAAUCUUUCAACAACUGCUGCAGAUACUAUUCAUUUGGAGGCAGUCUUUUGCCUAUAAAUAGAGAAGGCAGAAACCUGCAAAAACCACCCCAAAACCCCCAGAACAACACCAGAGAAGGGUGUGAUAUUAGAGAGAG
rnacentral:lncRNA from 1 species